rnacentral:rRNA from 1 species
AGCAGCCGCGGUAAUUCCAGCUCCAAUAGCGUAUAUUAAAGUUGUUGCAGUUAAAAAGCUCGUAGUUGAAUUUCGGGAUUGACACAUCGGUCGUGCCUUAAGGGGUAUGAACUGGUGUAGUCAAUUUCUCACCUUCUGGAGAACCGCGAUGCCCUUAAUUGGGUGUCGCGGGGAACCAGGACCUUUACUUUGAAAAAAUUAGAGUGUUUAAAGCAGGCAUUUUGCUUGAAUACAUUAGCAUGGAAUAAUAAAAUAGGACGGCAUGAUUCUAUUUUGUUGGUCUCUAGGAUCACCGUAAUGAUUAAUAGGGAUAGUUGGGGGACAUUAGUAUUCAAUUGUCAGAGGUGAAAUUCUUGGAUUUAUUGAAGACUAACUACUGCGAAAGCAUUUGCCAAGGAUGUUUUCAUUAAUCAAGAACGAAAGUUAGGGGAUCGAAGACGAUCAGAUACCGUCGUAGUCUUAACCAUAAACUAUGCCGACUAGGAAUCAGACGAUGUUAAUUUUUUAAUGACUCGUUUGG